AAGGUGCUGUGGCACGUCGAUGACAGAGACAUUCCUUCAACAUGCAUGAUUAUUUAUGGCAGCUAAUACACAGAGUGCAUAAAUAUGUUCACUGGAGUGUCUGCUUACGUUCUCGUAGUUGUUCACUCAUGUUGAAGGAACAGUCUGACAGCACGGCUUCAGUGAGUCAAUCGGCAGAUAUACGAGCGACAUCUGAGCUGAAUGUAAAAAGUGGUGAUUAGUUACAAAGCUUUUGGCAUUUUCACACUGUUCAUGGAGUAUACAACAUUCCUGUGGUCCUCAUUUGGUUUAUUGUUUCAGUGGUUGAUUAGAAAGGAGAAAAAAAAAGAAAAAAAAAAUUGUGUUUACAGCACACAGUGUUUUUGAGCUGUGCGAUGACAUCUCUAACAGGCUGCACCUUCCUCCAGAACGUAUAUGUACUGAUCGGUAGCUGCACUAUCAUUUCCAUUGCAUCCAAGGAGGCGUAUUCAUCUUAAACAUCAUUUUUCAUAUAAAUUUUACCUGUACAAUGAAGAGGAAGUUUGCAGGAGGACAGUACUGUCUGUAAGUGUGCUGUGUCCAUAUAUGAUCCAUACUUUUGUCUGAAAACAUAAAAAAAAGAAUAAGAAUAAAGAUAUAGCUGCAGAUUCCAGACUCCAAAGAGAAUAGCUUUGAUAUUGAUAGUGAGGACGUUUUUCUGAUGUUGUCAGGAUGUUUUGCAACAUAUAAGCUGCAUAUAUGGGCAAAGAAAGAGCCACACAACAUGCAUUUCAUUGAAAAAUUGGUUUGUUUCAAAUACUGUCCAGUUAAAGCAUUUUCCCAGAUGACGCUGAAGUAAAUACAGCACCCCCACAGAGCACCAUUGCACCCAGUCAUGGUAAUAAAGCCAGAAAGGCUUGGAUUAUGGUGCUAACCGGUCGGGUCACACAUGUAAUAACAACACCAACAACACUCUGUACCACAAAAUGAGUUUAUAGUGUCAGGAGUUGGGUGGUGCUGCACCUCCAACAAAAAGCCAGAGUCUAAGCCUUAAAUGUGGUGAUGCCAGAACGUUGAAACUCAAAAGAAGGAAAACUGACAAAGUGAAGACAAUUUCAUUCUGUUGUGUUGGUAAAAAUAAAGAACAAUGUGUUUA